GUCGCCGUCGUUGAUUUCAACCUUCGCGGCAGGCUGGGCUCUGCGGCGGGUGCAGGGCGUGUCGCCUGGAGUCAUGGGACGCGUCCGUAGACCACUGAGGUCGGAGCAUAAGGCGGGGUUGCCGGAAUUGCUCGACGGACCUCCUCCUCCGCCAACCUACCAAGUGUCACCGCGGGCUGCAUCCUCGCCACUGCAAUCUUGGUGAGGUUGCGAGGAUCUGAAGAAUCACCCUGGUAACUGGAAUCUCAAGUGCCAGGAGAAGAACAGGUGGUUCAUGAGGAGCCACAAGGCGAGGAGUAUGAUCUGAUCUAGGUGGCGUUUCUCAGUUGACAUUGGCGCCGACGAUCCUUAGUUCGUUUUAUAUUUAUUCUUUUAUUUUGUAAUAAGUCUUCCGCUAUGUAAUAAAUACUCUGAUGUUUUAUGAAAUUUAUCU
rnacentral:lncRNA from 7 species